CAAAAACAAAAAACAAGAGUUUUUCGCGCGAAGCCGCUGUAGCCGCAUCGGCACGCGCAUUAUAUUUGAUAUAUUUAUUAUGUAAUUAAUUAAUUUAAUAAAAUUUUUUCAUGAAAUUUCUUGAAACUUAAACUUGUGGCACUUUGAUGAAGAUUGGUUAGUGAUUGUAUUUUUACGUUGUUGUUGUAGUAGUCAGAGAAUCCAAGCAGUGCACCUGAAAUAAUAGUUAGCGACAACAAUGGACACUGACAAUGCUAAUUGUAGCUGUAUCAUUAUUGCCAACCGUUAUCUUUUGUUGUAACUAAGUGAAUAAUCUAUACAACAAUAUAUUUGCCUUUUUUCAAUAAUAAGUACACAGGCGGUUUCUUAGUUCAAUGUUAAGUGCUGGAUAAGUUCAAGUAAAAAAAAACAAAUUCUUGAGAUAGAUUCAAACACAAAUUGAGGUUUUUACUUUAAAAUUUUAGGCUAGGUCAUAGGUAGAAUUCGUAAUAAAUUUUGAGAAGUAGGGUUAAUAAAUAAGGCGGUUAGGAUUUAAUUCAAAAUGAUUCUUUAAUUGUAGUUCUGAAUUACUGCGGCAGAGCGCGAAGUGUGGUGGCCAGCAGUGGAUGUCUUAUGUGGGUAAUGAUUAACCCGCAAUCCUUAUCGGAUUCCAGCUGAAGAUCGCAAGCUUUAUAGUGAAAAGAACUACGUGUUUAACUUUAAUAUUUCUUUAAAUUAAUGAAUAAUUAAAAAAAAGAUGUGUGGUGUCGUGGGACACCAGAUAGGAACGAAGUUCCUUAUUAUAAAAAUAUUAAUUUUAAGUUCAAUUCGAGGUACAAAGAAAAUAAAACUGGAGGUUCCGCAACAACCCACGGUCAUUCGGUAACGUGCGAACUUAUUGUGGUACACUUCAUUCACGGUUGUAUGCAUAAGAGUUAGUGUAUUGCGCGAAAGCUCUGAGAUCGUGGUCAAUGAAUGAUAAAAAAAUAUGUUAUUUUUUGUACGUUAUUACAAAGUUAAGUCGUACACUGUGUGCAUUACUAAUAAAAAUCUUGCGUUACGGACGUUUUUUCCCAAUUAGGGUACCCCUCCGCCUCGUCCCAUAAGAAACUUCGUUCCAAAAAUUAUAAUUUUUAAAUCAAUUUGUUUUCCAUUUUAAAACUUUUAAUUUAAAUGAUGGAAAAUGAACUUAAUUUUACCAGUAUGUACUUAUUUAUGUAUUUGAUUUCCGCAAAAAAAUUGUUCUAAAGCAUCAAAGAUAUCUAAGCUAAGAAUUUGUAUACAUAUUUCAAGCCAAAUGACCCCAAUAUUGGUGCGAGUUAGUUGAAUCACUUUAGAGUCGAGUUCAAACACAUGUUGCCAAUUGAUACACGUGACCAAUAUGACAUAGUGUAGGAUGUGACUUUAUAAUAUACAUUUAUACAUAGAUUAUGUACUUGUAAAAGAGUAUAAGUUAUUAUAACUACUUUUUUUUUGCUACACCAACUAGAACUCGGUAAAGAAUUCGACGAGUGCAAUCACCAGGGUCCUUAAGCCUGCUUCUAUUGCCAGAGCUGAAGACGUCUAAUGACAGAGUUUUUUUUUUUUCUUGCUUAGAUGGGUGGACGAGCUCACAGCCCACCUGGUGUUACUGGAGCUCAUAGACAUCUACGACGUAAAUGCGCCACCUACCUUGAGAUAUAAGUUCUAAGGUCUCAAGUAUACUUACAACGGCCGCCCCACCCUUCAAACCGAAACGAAUUACUGCUUCACGGCAGAAAUAGGCAGUUAAUGGAUCUGAUGAAUUUGGAUGAAUGGAUCUGAGUCUGAGGCGUCCACGGUGACUGGCUAGUGACAUGUGAGCAUAAGUCGAAAAGUAGUCAGCGGUGGCACCGAUAAAGCGAAUAUCAUGACGCAUAGCCUUAUCGAAGUACUGUUCCAACGUUGACUUCCGGUGACAACGGUUUUUCCUGAUCGGUUAAUUUAUUAAGUAUAUUAAUUUAGUUUAUUUAUUAAAUAUUUUUUAACGAAAUUUAGUUUCCGAUAACCAUUAAAUUCUUUCAGAAUAAUGAUUUAAGUUUUUUCCUGAUCGGAUAUAAAUACAAAAAGUCUGAAUACUUUGGUCAUGAUUAGCACAGCAACGUGGAGAAUUAUUAUGAAGCAUUAAAAGCGAAAUUCUUCUUUUACGUUUGGCCGCGACACCAUCUAUUUAAAAGGCUAACGAGACAGACUUCUCUAUUUGAAGUAUGUAAUAUCUAAUAAAGAUAAUGAAACACAUACAUUCUACACUACACUAUACUAUCACAACACUAUUUUCUGUCACUAAAUAACACUUGUUUCACAAAUGGUAUUGUCACAUCGAUCCAUAGACAGCUAACUCGCUUUUUUUGUCAUUGUAUUCUCGCAGUAAUUAGUAAAGUGGUUAUCUAAAUGCUACCGCCCACCCUGGGGAUUCGAAGUGUCUAUUGUAUUAAUUGUUUAAUUAUUGGUCCACGGCUGAUAACAGCAAAGCGGUGUAACUGGUGGUAGGACCUCUUGUGAGUCCGCACGGGUAGGUAACACCAGCCCGCCUAUUUCUAUCGUGAAGCAGUAAUGCGUUUCGGUUUGAAGGAUUGGGCAGCCGUUGUAACAAUACUAAGACCUUAGAACUCAUAUCUCAAGGUGUGUGGCGGCAUUUACGUUAGAGAUGUCUAUGAGCUCCAGUAAACACUUAACACCAGGUGGGAUGUGAGCUCCUCCACCAAUCUGAGCGAUAAAAAAAGAUGUGUGGUGUCGUGGGACACCGGAUAGGAACGAAGUUCCUUUUUAUAAAAAUAUUAAUUUUAAGUUCUAUUCGAGGUAUAAAGAAAAUAAAACUGGAGAUUUCGCAACAACCCGCGGUCAUUCGGUAACGUGCGAACUUAUUGUGGUACACUUCAUUCACGGUUGUUUGCAUAAGAGUUAGUGUAUUGCGCAAACGAACGCUCUGAGAUCGUGGUCAAUGAAUGAUAAAAAAAUAUGUUAUUUUUUGUACGUUAUUACAAAGUUAAGUCGUACACUGUGUGCAUUACUAAUAAAAAUCUUACGUUACGGACGUUUUUUCCCGGUUAGGGUACCCCUCCGCAUCGUCCCAUAAGGAACUUCGUUCCUAAAACCUUUUUGAUUUCAAACUUGUUAAAAACCUUUUUAAGGUUUGAUUACGUAACAUUUAUGAAUGUUUUGUAUUGGUAAUGAUUCGCCGCCUCUCGUUUCCAGUCGAAUCCCAAUUAACGAAUACCGAAAUACAACUAAUCAGCAAAACAAUUGCGACCUUAAUUGCGUCCUGUGUUUAAUGCGAAACGAUAAAUUUUGCCACCCUCGCUUUAACGAAGCUGUAAGAAUACCCAGACCAAUUACGAGAAAAUCGCCGGAUCCCCCUCCCCACAAUUUGAAUGUUGGCAACAUAAACACAAGGCGAUUCAUUCGUAGCACAUGUCUGAUAGGAAAAUGCCGUUGGCAGUUUAAAACAAUUGACGAGGUGACUUAAAUCGAUCGCUGUGUUAAUUUGUCUGUUACAUUAAAAUAGACUCUACUGUUGUUAUACGUAAAUCAGAGUUUUUAACGAAAUAAUUUUUCAUAUAUGGAUUAAAACGCUCAUUACACAACAGAUUAAUUAAUAAGCAUUACACAUUACACAUACUUAAACAUUAUAUACAUAAAUCUGAGUUUUUAAUGAAUGAAUUUUUCAUAUAUGUAUUAAAACACUUAAUUAAUGAAUAAGCAUUAUUUAAUAUGAGCGCGCACUUAACUGAACACUUAAAGACAAGAAGGAAGUUAAGUAAAGAGUGAGAUAGCUACAUUUUAGGACGACAGGUGUCGAAUGCGUUUAGGAAUUGGUUUGAUAUCUCACAGAAUUGAAUAAAAAAGAUUCUAAUCCGAGUUGCGAAUGUUUAAUUCGUUUUUUUUUUUACCUAAUUGCCUACCUUUUUUUUUUUUUUAACACUGGGGAAUCCAUUUCCGGAUACCCGGUCGAGGGGGGUAACGGACCGGGUUAUGUCGGACUCCGGGGCCUCCUGAGAGGAAGAAGGGGAGAAGAGAAGGGCCGAAGUCCUUCACCUCCCCCAAUUUCUCACAGGAGACUACGCCUUGAAAAAGGCGCGCGAAGCACUUGCCCCGCAGAACGACUAACGACUAAACCCCAUCGAGCUCCACCACACCGACUACACGAAACUUACGGUACCGCGAUGCGCGCCGAAAAACCCAAUUGCCUACCUACCUAAUGGCUGGUAGCCUAGGGGGCUAUUACCGCUAUGCUCGGAAGUGAGCUCAGGGACUGAACCGGAAAGAAUUGCUGAUACUAAUCAUAACAAGGGCGUGCUUUGCUGAAUCUACUAUGGGAUCGCAAUCGUGACCCACUGACAGAAGAUCCGGCGAGAAACUCAGUGGGUACCGACAUCAAUCGACAAAGAGUCGGCAAGCUGAAGACGCAGGUUCAUAUAUUCCUAGACCUUGUGAUCGCUGGAGCAGAUGGAUUCUUGAGGCCACGCAUCAUCAAACUGUAUCUGGACCGACCCCCGACCAGUUGGAGCGAUAACUUACGCGAUAAGAGCGCCUGGCGAGAAAUGGACGAGCUUACCCAAAGAUAUUACAUUAGAAUAGGCCUAUAUGGAAGACUGCGGGCUGAUCAUGAUACAAAGAUGUUAUUAAAAUACAUACAAAGUGUUCUAUUCUAUCAGACCACAGACGUCCACUGUUGGGCAUAGGCCGCCCCCAAGCCAGGACACAAAGAUCGGUCCUGCGCUGCUUGCCUCAAUAGGUCGCCUGUCCACCUUGUGGGUUGCCUACCCAGGCUACAUAUAUACUUAUACAAGGUAAAAGCGAACAGAAUCUUCAAACAGGGAAUCACCUAAGUAAGUCGUGUAAAUGUAAACUACAUUUUUUUAUAUCAUAUCUGUACACGGUGGACGAGCUCAUAGCCCACCUGGUGUUAAGUGGUUACCGGAACACAUAGACAUCUACAAAGUAACCCACUUUGAGAUGAGUUCUAAGGUCUCUGUAACUCGGUAACUGUACAACUGUCUCUGUAAUUAAAACGGCUACCCCACCCUUCAAAACGAAACACAUUGCUGCUUCACGGCAAAAAUAGUCAGGGCGGUGGUACCUACCCGUGCGAACUCACAAGAGUGCCUACCAACAGUAAAACAACACCAGUACAUAAAGUAAGUAAGUACAUUACCAAGUUUUUUUUUGCUACCAAGUUACUGCAGACGCGAAAUACUGCUGACAGAAACGAGAUGAAACGGCACGUCUGCGGUAAAGGAAGGAUGCACAGUAUCCUUAUGUAGUCCUUAUUAAAUGGACCAAAUCUUCAGAAACCAAAACUAAAGUUUCUAAACCAGCGCAACCAGUAGUAGUACUAUAUUUAUACGAGCUUUAUAAACCUCAAAGCAGAAUCUCGGUGCUCUGGGGGUACGGCAGGGGCGCGUUUACAUCACCUGCCAAAUUUAAUUUAAUGCUAAUUUGAGUAAGCAACCCUUUUAACGAACUAAUGUACCAGCCUUCCCUUUGUACGUAGUCAUGUAGUAUAUAGGGGGUAUUUAUGUUUUUAAGUCAACUUAUGCCUUGUUUUAAUCUAUCUAUAUAUAUAAAAAUGAAUUGCUGUUCGUUAGUUUCGCUAAAACUCGAGAACGGCUGGACCGGUUUGGCUAAUUUUGGUCUUGAAUUAUUUGUGGAAGUCCAGAGAAGGUUUAAAAGGUAGAUAUAUGAAUGAAAAUGUUCAGAAUUAAAUAAAAAUAUCAAUUUUGUUUUUUCUUUGAUGUGUCCCCCGUCAGACGGAUUCCUUUUGUUUGUUUUAAGUUUAUUUUAUACAAAAGUUUAGGUAUUUUAUUUAUCGAUUGAGGCACUACGAAGUCUGCCGGGUCAGCUAGUCACAAAUAAAAAUCGUAUAAGUAUCGUUGAAAAAAAUAACUAAAGUUAAUAUUCGUAAAAUUUUACCUACGAAAAAUUAUUCAACCAAAAAACUAAUGAUCGGUCAAUGGCUUUAAGUCUACUUCAUACAACAUACGAAUUCAUUCAUAAAUCGUUCGUCAAAGUAGAGUAUCCAUAAUUUAAGCUGCAUUCCUAAACACUAUAAACUUCAAAUAAACAUAUAACUGCUAAUUAGUUUUAACUACAGAUUUUUAGUCUGAGAUGCCUAAAUAAUCCUCUUCUGGGAAUUGAGGACUAUUGUUGCAAAUAUUCCGAAUAUUAAUUCUUUAGUUUAUUUUACAAUUCAUAUUUAUUGGAUUGAACAUUAUGUAACAGCUACCUACUUUAUUUAUAGAAUUAAAUUACUUUUACACC